GUCGGGUACGGUGAUAUGGCGCCCAAAACCUACGUCGGCAUGUUCGUUGGAGCACUCUGUGCACUCGCCGGUGUGCUGACGAUCGCCUUACCGGUACCGGUAAUUGUCAGUAAU
rfam:Anopheles minimus strain MINIMTS1 unplaced genomic scaffold supercont1.7, whole genome shotgun sequence.